ensembl:lncRNA
GUGAAGGUUCACCUUUCAACAGGACAACGACCCUAAGCACACAGCCAAUACAACGCAGGAGUGGCUUCGGGACAAGUCUCUGAAUGUCCUUGAGUGGCCUAGUCAGAGCCCGGACUUGAACCCGAUCGAACAUCUCUGGAGAGACCUGAAAAUCGCUGUGCAGUGAUGCUACCCAUCCAAACUGGCAGAGCUUGAGAGGAUCUGCAAAGAAUAAUGGGAGAAACUCCCCAAAUACAGUGCCAAGCUUGUAUCAUCAUACCAAAGAAGACUCAAGGCUGUAAAUCGCUGGAAAAGGUGAUUCAACAAAGUACUGAGUAAAGGGUAAAUGUAAAUGUGGUAUUUCCAUUUUUGUUUUAAAUACAUUUGCAAACAUUUCUAAAAAUCUGUUUUUGCUUUGUCAUCAUGGGGUAUGGUGUGUAGAUUGAUUGGGGGGAAAAACAAAUGAAUCAAUUUUAGAAUACGGCUGUAACGUAACAAAAUGUAUAAAAAGUCAAGGGGUCUGAAUACUUUCUGAAUGCACUGUACUUAGCAUGUUAGCUAACCCUUCCCCUAACUCUAACCGUAACCCUUUAAACCUAACUCCUAAACUUAACCUAUAACCUUAUCCCUAACCCUAACGUUAGCGAGCUAGCCACCCGUUAGCGAGCUAGCCACCUAGCUAUAAUUCAUAACAUAUCAUACAUUUAGCAAAUUCGUAACAUAUUGUACAUGUUGCAAAUUCACAACAUAUUGUACAUUUUUCAAAUUCAGAAAAUAUGAUAGGAAUUGUAAUUUGUAAAUUACAUAUGAAGUGGGGGAUGGACAUCCAGUAAUACCUACCAUACAAAAUCUAACUAAAUGGAGUAACUAAAUGGAGUGUCUUACAUUUACAUACAAAAUCAAAUUAAAUGCUCUGAGACCCAGUUGCCCCGCCUGGGGCAAUCUGUACAACUUUUACUUUGACUUCACUACAUUCCUGAAGAAAAUAAUGUACUUUUUACUCCAUGCAUUUUCCCUGACACCCAAAAAUACUUGUUACAUUUUGAAUGCUUAGCAGGACAGAAAAAUGGUCAAAUUCAUGCACUUACCAAGAGAAAAUCCCUAGUCAUCCCUACUGUCUCUGAUCUGGCAGACUCACUAAACACACAUGCUUCGUUUGUAAAUUAUGUCUGAGUGUUGGAGUGUGACCCUGGCUUUUCGUAAAUAACAAAAAAAUACAAGAGUGGCUCCCGAGUGGCGCAGCGGUCUAAUGCACUGCAGCGCAGAGGCGUCACUACAUAUCCUGGUUCGUUCCCGGGGUGUAUCACAACUGGACGUGAUCGGGAGUCCCAUAGGGCGGCGCACAAUUGGCCUAGAGUUGUCCGAGUUAGGGGAGGGUUUGGCCGGAGGGGUUUUACUUGGCUCAUCGCGCUCUAACAUAUUGGUGCGGCUGGCUUCCGGGUUAAGCAGGCGGGUGUUAAGAAGCCUGGUUUGGCGAGUCAUGUUUCGGAGGAUGCAUCACUCGACUCCAGAGAAUGGUGCCGUCUUGUUUGCUUAAUAUAAGGAAUUUGAAAUUAUUUAUGCUUUUACUUUUGAUACUUAAGUACGCUGUCCAACAACAUGGCUUCUGUGGAGGAGAUCAAGGAGAUACACUAGAUGAAGAGAUCAGGAAGGUGAUUGAGGAUGCAGCCCAGUUUGCGAACUCUGACCCUGAGCCAACAUUGGACAAGCUCUGCAACCUCAUCUUAACCAACAAACCUGUGAACGGAGGUCCGCAGGUCCAACCUCUGGGUCAAAUUCAAGUCUGUCAGGUAGACACACACACACGCAUGCGCACGCACACACACACACACACACACACACACACACACACACACACACACACACACACACACACACACACACACACACACACACACACGCGCACACACACGCACACACACACGCACACACACACACACACACACACACACACACACACACACACACACACACACACACACACACACACACACACACACACACACACACACACACCUCCAUCAGUUACACAUCAGCUCUAAGAUACCAACCCCUAGGUGAAAGUCUACUCCUCCUCUCCUCCAAUCUUAGCAGCAUUCCAAACCAGUUCUUCACCUCUGACCCUGUUAGGUCACUGGUGUUUAUUCACAAUAUGUACUGUAUAGCAUAUAAUAUGUUGUUGUAUAAUUAUGUCAGAGUUGGUAUGCAUUCUCCUGAUACUGAGGGAUCUGUCUUAGAAUGGCAUUGGGCAGGCUUUUGUUCCAGCCCAGCACUAACAGAUCAGAUACAACAUAUCAACCUCUCAUCAAGUCUUUGAUAAGCUGUAGCAGGUGUGUUAGUGUUGAUAUGUAACUUACAAAGCUUGCUCACCCUAUAGCUCUCCAGGAGCCACCCCUGGCUUGGGGAGUGUGUGUGUGUCUCCCUCCCUCCCUCUCUGUGAGGAGAGGGUAUGGAUCCAAGCACUAUGAAACUGAAGCGUCUGUGUGAACUGAAAGACUGAUAUUGUUGUAAUACAGUUUGAUGUGAUUUGACUGGAGCAAUAAAGUUGGCUGAGACUUUGGGUGUUAUGUGACUUUGUGUGUCUUGAAAAGCACUUAAAAUAAAAUGUAUUAUUAUUAACACACACACACUGUC